UUUAGCAAACACUCUCUGCUUCUGAGUUGUUUACAUGGCCCCUUCGAAGAGUGCAGCAGAUAUUCCCUUGUGGAAGACUGGUUGAAAAGCAAAACACCAUUUUCUUACUAGAAGCUUGAAGUUCCCGGCUUCAGAGACUUCAGAGAAAGGGAGAAAGAGGCUUCCCAAAUGUAGGGUUCCUGUUCUUUGAUGGCCUUCUGCUAGCUGGAACAAUGACUUUUAACUUCAGUAUUCCUAAAAAUACAAAGAACUAGACCCUGCAUGUGCACGAAUAACACCUAGGUCAUGCUCUGAUCUGCCCGCCUAGUAACUGCCCUCCCCUAGGGAGAUCGCUGCUUACAAGGCAGCAAGGGAUUCAAGGUCAGCAUCGUCUACAUGGGAAGGCCACAGGGAAGAAUUACCUGACUCACUUGCUGCACAAGCAUGCUUCUACCAUGUAUCUGACAUGCAAUUACACCCUCCUUUUCUUUGGUGUAUUGUGAUUUAAAAGCCACUUUACAAUGAUUUUGCAAAGCCCAGAGAGCUUGCAACUUGUAUUUGAGGCAUUGUCUCAUGUUCAGGUCAACUCUGACUGAAAAAAUAAAAAA
rnacentral:lncRNA from 1 species